rnacentral:rRNA from 1 species
CCUACGGGAGGCUGCAGUGGGGAAUAUUGCACAAUGGGGGAACCCUGGUGGAACCACGCCGCGUGGACGGAGAAGGGCCUCGGGUCGGAAAGGCCUUUCCUUAGGGGAAGAUUCCGAAGGGUACCUUAGGGGAAAGCCCGGCGAACUACGGGCCAGGAGCCGGGGUAAUACGGAGGGGGCUAGCGUUAUCCGGAAUUACUGGGCGUAAAGGGUGCGUAGGCGGCCCUUCAAGUCAGAGGUGAAAGGCUACGGCUCAACCGUAGUAAGCCUUUGAAACUGUAGGGCUUGAGUGCAGGAGAGGAGAGUGGAAUUCCCAGUGUAGCGGUGAAAUGCGUAGAUAUUGGGAGGAACACCAGUUGCGAAGGCGGCUCUCUGGACUGUAACUGACGCUGAGGCACGAAAGCGUGGGGAGCGAACAGGAUUAGAUACCCGUGUAGUC